rnacentral:rRNA from 1 species
GACGAACGCUGGCGGCGUGCUUAACACAUGCAAGUCGAACGGAAAGGCCCUGCUUUUGUGGGGUGCUCGAGUGGCGAACGGGUGAGUAACACGUGAGUAACCUGCCCUUGACUUUGGGAUAACUUCAGGAAACUGGGGCUAAUACCGGAUAGGAGCUCCUGCUGCAUGGUGGGGGUUGGAAAGUUUCGGCGGUUGGGGAUGGACUCGCGGCUUAUCAGCUUGUUGGUGGGGUAGUGGCUUACCAAGGCUUUGACGGGUAGCCGGCCUGAGAGGGUGACCGGCCACAUUGGGACUGAGAUACGGCCCAGACUCCUACGGGAGGCAGCAGUGGGGAAUAUUGCUCAAGGGGCGGAAGCCUGAUGCAGCAACGCCGCGUGCGGGAUGACGGCCUUCGGGUUGUAAACCGCUUUCGCCUGUGACGAAGCGUGAGUGACGGUAAUGGGUAAAGAAGCACCGGCUAACUACGU